CCGCCUGUGAUGCUGCAUUUGGCUGGUUAUGCGGCUGUUCACAGAGAGGAUGAAGCCUGCGUGGCAGCUGUAAUGGAGCGCCGUCCCUUCCACCGGAGGUCCUGGGGGAUUUGCCGUCACCCUGCCGUUCUCCAGAGAGGUCCACACCCGCGGACACAGCAGCACUGGAGGCCAGAAACACCAAGACUCUGAAAAGGAGACCGGUUUCACCUCAUUGAACAGACUAAGGCCUCAGAGAAAGGCAGCAUCCUAAAGACCCCAGCUUCUCCAUCUUUUCUGCUGGCUAUAAAGGUGCAGAUCUUCUCCACUGUGGACAGUUGGAGUUUGUUGGCCUCCAGCUCUAUGCCAGUUACGCUGCCCACGUCGCUGAGGUCGCCCAGGUGCUCCACGGAAUCAUAUUUCUCCAGGUCAGAGGCGAUGGUCUGCAGGCUGAAGACGGACAGCGAGUCCGACCCGGCU